rnacentral:misc_RNA from 1 species
GCUUUUGUUGGGCAUGUACUCAUAAAUCAACAUUUUCUCUCCCUUUUCAGUGCAAAAUCCCAAAGGUCUCACUAGAUUAACAUGCUGCAACUUUGCUGUAAGUUUAACCUCAUUUUUGAACUCCUUAAGCCCUUGAUGUGAAGUUUUAGACAGUCUCUUCACCGCUAUUUCUUGUCCCCUUGCAAGCUUACCCUUGUACACAGGUCCAUAGCCACCCUCUCCAAGCCUAUUUUCGCUUGAAAAGUUUCUUGUAGCUGAUUUGAUCUCAGAAAAAGUAAAUACUUGCAGAUUAGGAGCAUUCUGGUCUGAAUCUUCAUUCACUAGUGCUGUAUUUGGUCCUACUUCAAAGCUUUGUUCUUUGCCUGAAUCCUUUUUUCCUUUUGAUUUGAGCAUUCUUUUUCUCAUAUAGUAUGACAAAGAACCAAGUAGGAAGAGCAGGAUUACAAUUGCAAGUGGAAGUGAAACUAUAAUCCUUAAUGAUAAUGGCUUCUUCUUUUCAUGAUCUUUACCAACCUCAUAUGCUGUCAAUUUUUCCCCCCAAUUAGAGCCACACUUGCACACAUCAACACAAAAGAAACAAGGAAAAAAUAAUAUUAUAUAAAUGGAUAUGAACUAUAACCAAUGAGCUUUAGAUGAUUGAUAUUUCAAUUAUCUUCCAACGCAGAGCCAAAUAAACAAAAUAAAUAAGAACUGUGGACAUAAACCAAACAAGCAAUUUCCCACCUGCCUGAGAAAGCUGCCAGUUGUCAUCAUUACCGAGUUGAAAGGAAAUAUAACCGAGUAGUUGCUUCGUCUUGGCAUAUGAAAUUUUAGUCCUAAUGGCCUCAACAUCAUCAAAAUUGAUCCAGAUUGAACCAAUGGUGAAGUAAUUCACUACAUAUGUAGCAUUGUAGGUUGAAGUGGCUCCGUAACCAUAACCGGAGAUGAAUGAUUUAAUCAACUUAUAGCCUGCAGAACCAUCCUUUGUCAGAGCAGGUCCCAAGGCUGCUGCGCCAAUGGAAUUGUCAUUGGGGUUCAGAAGCGUCCAUGCAUAGCCAUGGUAAGGCACACCCAAAACAAGCUUGCUUGCUGGAAAUCCUCUUCUUAACCAUUCUUCUAUACCAGAAUCAGUACUAACAUGGCCUGAAGGAUCAUAUAAAGCAGCAUGGUUUCCUGUAACAUUCUCCUUUAAGGGCACAUGAUAGUCGAAUGCUAUAAUAUUUGCCCAAUCUAUGUUUCUCAGAAUUGAUUCAACAGGAAAGCUUGUGGCACCAAUAAUCGGCAUGUGAUGAACAGCCAUUGUCAAGACUAAUCGAGGCUCACUCGUGUUUCUUGACUCAGAAUUUAUAGCAGCCCGCCACUCAUCUAAGAGAACUCCAAUAUUUUUCAUGUCAAA